AUACGUAGGGGGCGAGCGUUGUCCGGAAUGAUUGGGCGUAAAGGGCGCGUAGGCGGCCCGGUAAGUCUGGAGUGAAAGUCCUGUUUUUAAGAUGGGAAUUGCUUUGGACACUGUCGGGCUUGAGUGCAGGAGAGGUAAGUGGAAUUCCCAGUGUAGCGGUGAAAUGCGUAGAGAUUGGGAGGAACUCCAGUGGCGAAGGGGACUUACUGGACUGUAACUGACGCUGAGGCGCGAAAGUGUGGGGAGCAAACAGGAUGAGAUACCCUGGUAGUCCCCACUGUAAACGAUGAAUGCUAGGUGUAGGGGGUAUCGACCCCUUCUGUGCCGCAGUCAACACAAUAAGCAUUCCGCCUGAAGAGUACGGCCGCAAGGUUGAAACUCAAAUGAAUGGACGGGG
rnacentral:rRNA from 1 species